GUCAUUCAGUGGUAGAAUUCUCUCCUUCCAUGAGGGAGGCCCGGGUUCGAUUCCCAGC
rnacentral:tRNA from 1 species